UACGUAGGGCGCAAGCGUUAUCCGGAAUUAUUGGGCGUAAAGAGCUCGUAGGCGGUUUGUCGCGUCUGCCGUGAAAGUCCGGGGCUUAACCCCGGGUCUGCAUUCGAUACGGGCAGGCUAGAGUGUGGUAGGGGAGAUCGGAAUUCCUGGUGUAGCGGUGAAAUGCGCAGAUAUCAGGAGGAACACCGAUGGCGAAGGCAGCUCGCUGGGACGGUACUGACGCUGAGGCGCGAAAGCGUGGGGAGCAAACAGG
rnacentral:rRNA from 1 species